rnacentral:rRNA from 1 species
GAUGAACGCUGACAGAAUGCUUAACACAUGCAAGUCUACUUGGUUCUACUUCGGUAGUUGAUGGUGGCGGACGGGUGAGUAACGCGUAAAGAAUCUGCCCUUUAGUUCGGGAUAACCUUUGGAAACGAAGGAUAAUACCGGAUAUUAUGGAGACGUCGCAUGACGAUUUCAUGAAAGCUAUAUGCGCUAGAGGAGGACUUUGCGUCCCAUUAGUUAGUUGGUGAGGUAAUGGCUCACCAAGACCGCGAUGGGUAGCCGGCCUGAGAGGGUGAUCGGCCACAAGGGAACUGAGACACGGUCCUUACUCCUACGGGAGGCAGCAGUGGGGAAUAUUGGACAAUGGGCCACAAGCCUGAUCCAGCAAUUCUGUGUGCACGAUGAAGGUCUUCGGAUUGUAAAGUGCUUUCAGUAGGGAAGAAAAAAUGACGGUACCUACAGAAGAAGCGACGGCUAAAUAUGUGCCAGCCGCCGCCGUAAAAC